GAUGAAGAACGCAGCGAAAUGCGAUAAAUAAUGUGAAUUGCAGAAUUCAGUGAAUCAUCGAGUCUUUGAACGCACAUUGCGCCCCCUGGUAUUCCGGGGGGCAUGCCUGUCCGAGCGUCAUUGCUGCCCUCAAGCACGGCUUGUGUGUUGGGCCUCCGCCCCCCGGCUCCCGGGGGGCGGGCCCGAAAGGCAGCGGCGGCACCGCGUCCGGUCCUCGAGCGUAUGGGGCUUCGUCACCCGCUCCGUAGGCCCGGCCGGCGCCCGCCGGCGACCCCCCUCAAUCUUUCCAGGUUGACCUCGGAUCAGGUAGGGAUACCCGCUGAACUUAAGCAUAUCAAUAAGCGGAGGA
rnacentral:misc_RNA from 1 species